rnacentral:lncRNA from 1 species
AAAUAUUUUAUUGAAUGUUCACUGAAUAUCAUUACACACUGUUCUUGACACUGGAGUUACAGCAGUAAACAACACAGAAAUCUCUGUUUUGAGGAGCUUACAGGUUAUUUGGUAGAGACAAACACUAACCACAAUAAAUAAAGAUAUAUCAAAUAGUGAUCAGUGCUUUGAGGAAGAUAGACCAUAAAAUAGGAUAAGACACAACAUGGAGGAAUAUGGUUAUUUUAUAUAUGUUGGUUAGGAAAUACUUCUCUAGGGAAAAUGUAAUAGGAAUACUUAGUUAAGUCAUCAAAUUAUUUGAGAAGAAGGAUGUCACAGGUAGUGAAAACAGCAAAUACAGAAGCCCUGCAGGUGGAAGGUCCCUAGCAUGCUUGAGGAAUAGGAAAAAGGCCAGGCUAGCUAGAGAGGCAUUAGGUCAAUAGCAAUGAGAAGAAGGAUGUGAAGGCUCUAGCCUGUGUAGGAACAUCUAGGCCAUGGAAAUGACUCUGGCUUGUGUACUGAGGGGAUUAGGGGUCAUGGGAGAAUUUUCCGCAGACUAGGGGCAUGAUCUGAUUUGGAUUCCACAAAUAAUUUCUAAAGAAGAAUUUUUAAUUCUUAUAGAAUUACUGAGAAUUAGUAGCAAGUGCUACACCACCAGGAAAAGAAAAAAAAACAAUUCCUAGAACACUGGAUUUUAGGAAAACAAAAAGGUGCACAGUAGAGAGGAUAUAGUCAGUGUGCUGUGUAGUUCAGAUGUGAACAAUAUUUACAAUGCCAUACACAAAAAAGGUGAAUUCUGAUUUAACAAAAGCUAGGCUUAAAGAAGUAGUAGAUGUAAUCACAAUUUGAGCAAGCAACAAAUGACUUAAUUAGGGACACAAAAAAAGACUAGAAAGUAAAUGAACCUUUUACAAAGAAAACCACAAAAAACUCAAUGGAAAAAUCAGAAGGCAGAUUAAACAGAGCUGGAGAAGAGAAUAAACUAAAAUAUAUACCUGAUGAAAUGUCCUCAAAUGAAGUACCAGGAGACGGAAAAUAUCAAAGAGUUGUUAUGAGUUAUGAAAAACAGGAGGUACAAAAUACAAGUAGCUGGAUUGUGAGAAAAAAAAACAGAAAGACUCUAAUAGUUAAUAACUUUCCAGAAAUUAUAAAAAAAAAACUCCAUGCAUCUACUAAGCCAUGAAACACGUUUCAAAGGUAGAAUAAAUAAGAAAGAAACAAGUCUAAACACGUUGGAAUGAAAGCACAGUGUUCCCUGUGCACCCCACUCACUAACCAAAUGAAAGCAAACCACAAUUAGACUGAUGAUGUACUUUUUAAAGGCAACGAGGCAUAUACACGUAUUUUAAAGGUUGAGCAAGUUCUCCUAAGGAGGAAGAUAAAGCCUUUAACUCACAGCAAAGAUUCAGGGAGUUUAAUACCAGGAGAACUGAACUAAAACAACAAACACACACUGUUUUCAUAAGGAAAGAGAAUAAUGCCAUAACGGGGGUUCUGAGAUGCAAGAACGUAUACAUGUACAUCUGAACAAAUACUGCCUGUCUAUACAAACAAUACCAAUAAUAUAUAACUCGGAAAUUACAAAACAAACAAGCAAAAAACAAGGAAUAAAUUUACAUACUUAAAAACAAAAUCAAGUGCUUAGGAGAGGA